rnacentral:tRNA from 1 species
AUGGCUGUGGCUCAGUGGAAGAACUUCUGUUUUGCAUGUAGAAGGUGGCAGGUUCGAUCCCAGCAUUGCCAGUUAAA